rnacentral:rRNA from 1 species
AGUAACGUUCUGAAAAGAAACGCUAAUACCGCAUGAGACUACAGAGCUGCAUGGCUCAGUGGUCAAAGGAGCAAUCCGCUGAAAGAUGGACUCGCGUCCGAUUAGAUAGUAGGCGGGGUAACGGCCCACCUAGUCGACGAUCGGUAGCCGGACUGAGAGGUUGAACGGCCACAUUGGGACUGAGACACGGCCCAGACUCCUACGGGAGGCAGCAUG